ACAAAACUAAAGACUGAGUUUUUCCUAAUAUGUAGUGUUACAUCUUACCAAACCGAUGAUACUAAAUAUGCUAAAACAAGCAAUGCCUUCUUCUAGCACCGCCGGGUCCCCGAGCUCUCUCUCUUCUUCUGCCCUGGAGAUGGGACUCCAUUUGCAGGCCAAUCGUCCAUCCAUCUGGUCAGCCGAACUUUGGCCAAAGUGUGCUGGACGGGGCGGAGGGAAGGGGGAGGGAGGGAGGGAGGGAGGGAGGGGGGUAUAAAAGGGCCCGGCUGACCAGGAGGGUCCGGCAGAGAUUUUGGGAGAAUUACGGAACAGGUCCAGUGAAGCCACGCCAUGAAGGGCCCUCUCCUGCUGCUGUUGGUGCUCCUGGCGCUGGUGGCCUCCUUCGCACGGGCCGAGGCGCCGGCGGAGGAGUCUCUGGUGGAGAAGGUGCAGGUCUACGUCCAGCAAGUGGCCCAGAAGGCCCAGGAGCACAUGGU
rnacentral:lncRNA from 11 species